GGAGACGAUGCUGACAGAGAUCAGUCCUGCUUUACCUGACUCUGACUGCAAGCAGAAGAUACUGCUCUUGUUAAAGUGAUAGGUCUUCCAUAGGUGCAGUUAGCACUUUCAGGAUGUUCUUCUGGGCACCAAGACAAAGCUGAGCAAAUGAGAUGAUUUCUGCAGCCUUCUGCAGCACAGAGAGUUGGGGACAGUGAGCGGCCCACGCACAGAAAUGCAGAGGCUCAUGCUGGCUGUCAGCUUGUGACCCAGGGCCAGAAGUGGUGGGAACAGAGGCACAGUCCUGCUGGGCAAAGAUUUGAAGAACCUAACCACUGGCUGUGCCCUGUUCCUCUGACUUACCCCAUCAGUACAGAUGGUGAGGCUGCUCAGCUUUUCAGCCUGGCACCCUCUCUACUCAGGAAUGUUCUGCUCCCAUCCAGAAAUGCAAAAAUGCAUUAUGCGUGUCAGCAGCUUAACCAAAGCCAAGGAAAUAUUUGAAGAUAUCUGAAAUAUGAAUUAUGUAAAAUAAACCUGGCACGCUAGGCA
rnacentral:lncRNA from 1 species